UGAACACUGUUGGGGAAUACGUACGUGGUUGUGCUGGGUGGUAGACGGCCGCCCGCCGUCGGCGAACUGAGCCGUGGAUCAGAAUCGGCGGCGCCAUCUGAUCCGUGGCUCGGGAAGUUCACUUCCUGUGUACCGGUUGCAGGAGCGAGAGUUUUCUUGCCCAGCGCGUGGAUCAUUUGGAAGCCGAGGACUACAGGAUAGAGGCCAGGAGCACCGACGGCCACGGACCAUGGUGUUUCUGAUGUAGACGGUCGGCAGAUCCACUCUGCUUGAGCUAGGGAAGACUUUGAUGCCUGCCCCCGUGGUUGUGAAUGGCCCUGCGGUGACGGAUUUUGAGGUGGCACAUCAGGCGGAGCGCGAGGCGGCGCAACACCGGAUGGCGGACAGGGGCAAAGCAUAAAUCUUCUCGGUGAAGGAGGCGGCAGCCGACAAAAGGGAGAGUUCGUCGCCGCCGCCAGAGCUGUCAACGAUGAAGAUGAAUCCCGAAGCGCCGGGAUGGAACACGAGGUUGAGUGCUCUUUGCAUUCGUAAAAUUGAUGCUAUAAGUAGCUGUUUUGCGGGCUUAGGAUUGGUACCGCCGCUCCUAGCAGAACACCGUGCCCAAAUCGUAUCAGUGCGUUUGAGAAGGCAGCCAGAUGCUCGCAGAGAACCUAGCUGAAAACGUGAUCACACUGGUUCUUGGUCCUACUUUCAACUCUUAGGGAGAGGUAUACAACUUCUACAAUCUGUACUCAUGGGAGAAGGGGUUUGGCAUCUGGUAUGGGAAGAGCCGGCUAAAUGCCGAGAGGACAAAGUGCAUCCAGGAGUGCGUGGGUGCUCGGGUGAAGCUCGUGUUGAGAACACAAAAGGUCCUGGAGGUGAUGAGUUUGAAACUUUGAAUGCGAGUGUGGUCAGUUUGCUCACAAGGGAUUGUUACGUAGCCAUGUCCUGAAGGUGCUUGAUUUCAUCAGAAUAAAAGAAAUUCCACAGAAGCACAUAGUUAAUAGGUGGACCAGAGAUGCAAGUUAUAUUCUGCCUGCUCACCUUACACAAUAUCAGAGGGACUAUAGUCACAAGAAUCCAUUCAGUUUUACGCAUUUCACUGUGUGCUUCCUUAGUGUAUGGGACCAAAAAAUGUUUGUCGGUCUAGUGUGUCCGUCAUCAUUUUCGACGUUGUAAUUCUGAACUUAUCCUGAUUCCAUGUUUGAUAAAACCCAUUAUGAUUUGUGAAUCCAUGUUCUCAGGAUUUCCUAGGAUUAUGACUAUCCAAGGAAAGAGUUUGACAUGCUAGUACUGUUUCUGAAUUUUCGUUGAAGUGUGAUGCCUGCCUUGGAUAUUUGAUGAGCGUAACUCUAGAUUUAU